GGGUGAGUAACACGUGGGUAACCUGCCCAAGAGACUGGGAUAACACCUGGAAACAGAUGCUAAUACCGGAUAACAACACUAGACGCAUGUCUAGAGUUUGAAAGAUGGUUCUGCUAUCACUCUUGGAUGGACCUGCGGUGCAUUAGCUAGUUGGUAAGGUAACGGCUUACCAAGGCAAUGAUGCAUAGCCGAGUUGAGAGACUGAUCGGCCACAUUGGGACUGAGACACGGCCCAAACUCCUACGGGAGGCAGCAGUAGGGAAUCUUCCACAAUGGACGAAAGUCUGAUGGAGCAACGCCGCGUGAGUGAAGAAGGGUCUCGGCUCGUAAAGCUCUGUUGGUAGUGAAGAAAGAUAGAGGUAGUAACUGGCCUUUAUUUGACGGUAAUUACUUAGAAAGUCACGGCUAACUACGUGCCAGCAGCCGCGGUAAUACGUAGGUGGCAAGCGUUGUCCGGAUUUAUUGGGCGUAAAGCGAGUGCAGGCGGUUCAAUAAGUCUGAUGUGAAAGCCUUCGGCUCAACCGGAGAAUUGCAUCAGAAACUGUUGAACUUGAGUGCAGAAGAGGAGAGUGGAACUCCAUGAGUAGCGGUGGAAUGCGUAGAUAUAUGGAAGAACACCAGUGGCGAAGGCGGCUCUCUGGUCUGCAACUGACGCUGAGGCUCGAAAGCAUGGGUAGCGAACAGGAUUAGAUACCCUGGUAGUCCAUGCCGUAAACGAU
rnacentral:rRNA from 1 species